AAUAGAAAUCAAAAGCACACAAGAAAUAAGAAGAAGAGUACAAGAAAGCAAUAUAUAUACAGGAUGACGAAGAGGAAGAUGACAAGGUGCCUCACAUUGAGGGGGCGAUGUGGACCAGGCGGCCAGCAUCUCAGACGGCAGUGAGGAUGACGAAGAUGAUGAAGCAGAUGUGGAGAGUGACAUGGAGAGCGGCUCCGAGGACGAGUCCGGUUCAGAGUUAGACGAGGACAGUGACGGCAGCGGGCCAGAUCUGGCCAGGGGAAAAGGGCAAUGUGGAGACCAGCUCGGACGAGGACGACGAUGAUGACUUGGAGGCCAUUUUGAAACGCGAGGAGGAGGAGAUCCAGCACGACUGGGGCGAGCUGUGCAAGGACGCGCCGCGGAGCGAGGAGGUAACCCAAAGGCUUGCCG